AGAGUUUGAUCCUGGCUCAGGAUGAACGCCGGCGGUGUGCCUAAUACAUGCAAGUCGUACGCACUGGCCCAGCUGAUUGAUGGUGCUUGCACCUGAUUGACGAUGGAUUACCAGUGAGUGGCGGACGGGUGAGUAACACGUAGGUAACCUGCCCCGGAGCGGGGGAUAACAUUUGGAAACAGAUGCUAAUACCGCAUAACAACAAAAGCCACAUGGCUUUUGUUUGAAAGAUGGCUUUGGCUAUCACUCUGGGAUGGACCUGCGGUGCAUUAGCUAGUUGGUAAGGUAACGGCUUACCAAGGCGAUGACUGCAUAGCCGAGUUGAGAGACUGAUCGGCCACAAUGGAACUGAGACACGGUCCAUACUCCUACGGGAGGCAGCAGUAGGGAAUCUUCCACAAUGGGCGCAAGCCUGAUGGAGCAACACCGCGUGAGUGAAGAAGGGUUUCGGCUCGUAAAGCUCUGUUGUUGGAGAAGAACGUGCGUGAGAGUAACUGUUCACGCAGUGACGGUAUCCAACCAGAAAGUCACGGCUAACUACGUGCCAGCAGCCGCGGUAAUACGUAGGUGGCAAGCGUUAUCCGGAUUUAUUGGGCGUAAAGCGAGCGCAGGCGGUUGCUUAGGUCUGAUGUGAAAGCCUUCGGCUUAACCGAAGAAGUGCAUCGGAAACCGGGCGACUUGAGUGCAGAAGAGGACAGUGGAACUCCACUGUGUAGCGGUGGAACUGCGUAGACUACUAUGGAAGAACACCAGUGGCGAAGGCGGCUGUCUGGUCUGCAACUGACGCUGAGGCUCGAAAGCAUGGGUAGCGAACAGGAUUAGAUACCCUGGUAGUCCAUGCCGUAAACGAUGAGUGCUAGGUGUUGGAGGGUU
rnacentral:rRNA from 1 species